rnacentral:rRNA from 1 species
UACGGGGGGAGCAAGCGUUGUUCGGAUUUACUGGGCGUAAAGGGCGCGUAGGCGGCCACCGCAAGUCGACUGUGAAAUCUCCGGGCUUAACCCGGAAAGGUCAGCCGAUACUGCGGGGCUAGAGUGCAGAAGGGGCAACUGGAAUUCUCGGUGUAGCGGUGAAAUGCGUAGAUAUCGAGAGGAACACCUGCGGCGAAGGCGGGUUGCUGGGCUGACACUGACGCUGAUGCGCGAAAGCGUGGGUAGCAAACAGG